rnacentral:rRNA from 1 species
UACGUAGGUGGCAAGCGUUGUCCGGAUUUACUGGGCGUAAAGAGCGCGCAGGCGGUCGUAUAAGUCGAAUGUGAAAGCCCCCGGCUCAACUGGGGAGGGUCAUUCGAUACUGUUCGACUCGAAGGCAGGAGAGGGAAGUGGAAUUCCGGGUGUAGUGGUGAAAUGCGUAGAUAUCCGGAGGAACACCAGUGGCGAAGGCGACUUUCUGGCCUGUUCUUGACGCUGAGGCGCG